rnacentral:rRNA from 1 species
UACGUAGGGGGCGAGCGUUGUCCGGAUUUAUUGGGCGUAAAGAGCGUGUAGGCUGUUCGGUAAGUCUGCCGUGAAAACCUGAGGCUCAACCUCGGGCGUGCGGUGGAUACUGCCGGGCUAGAGGACGGUAGAGGCGAGUGGAAUUCCCGGUGUAGCGGUGAAAUGCGCAGAUAUCAGGAGGAACACCGAUGGCGAAGGCAGGUCUCUGGGCAUUAACUGACGCUGAGGAGCGAAAGCAUGGGGAGCGAACAGG